GAUGAACGCUGGCGGCGCGCCUAAUACAUGCAAGUCGAGCGAACGGACGAGAAGCUUGCUUCUCUGACGUUAGCGGCGGACGGGUGAGUAACACGUGGAUAACCUACCUAUAAGACUGGGAUAACUUCGGGAAACCGGCGCUAAUCCCGGAUGAUCUUUUGAACCGCAUGGUUCAAAAGUGAAAGACGGUUUUGCUGUCACUUAUAGAUGGAUCCGCGCAGCAUUAGCUAGUUGGUAAGGUAACGGCUUACCAAGGCAACGAAGCAUAGCCGACCUGAGAGGAUGGACGGCCACACGGGAAGUGAGACAGGAUCCAGACACCGGCGGGAGGCAGCAGUAGGGAAUCUUCCGCAAUGGGCGAGAGCCUGACGGAGCAACGCGGCGGGAGUGAUGAAGGUCUGCGGAUCGGAAAACGCUGUAAGUAGGGAAGAACAAAUGUGUAAGUAACUAUGCACAUCUUGACGGUACCUAAUCAGAAAGCCACGGCUAACUACGUG
rnacentral:rRNA from 1 species